ACGGAGAGUGCAAACGUUGUUCGGAUUCACUGGGCGUAAAGGGCACGUAGGCGGCCCGGCAAAUCGAUCGUGGAAUACCGACGCUUACCGUCGGUGCGGCGGUCGAAAAUACCGGGCUUGAGGGCGUGAGGGGUCGCUGGAACUCCUGGUGGAGCGGUGAAAUGCGUAGAGAUCCGGAGGAACCCCAGAGGCGAAGGCGGCGCCCUGGCCCGACACUGACGCUCAGACACGACAGCAUGGGGAGCGAACGGGA
rnacentral:rRNA from 1 species